GCAAGGGGCUAAGGGGAGGGGGGCCCAGUGCCAGCCGUUUAAAAAUGCCCCGUGGCAGUGAGGGGUGCCAGAGGCCCGGUCAAGUUAGUUGAGAAGCAAUGACACCCCCAACAAUCCCCUAAAUGAGCUGAGCCCUGUAUCCAGGCUGCAAGGAGCCACACCUGGACCAGACCCCAGAAGAGCCUCCCGGAGCUUCCCAAGAAGACAGAGGUUCCCCCCACUGGCUGGGCUCAGCGACAUUUCCUGAAGACAGUGAGGAGCAGGGAGGGGGAAUCGGCCCAUUCUCUGGGAGCAGCUCCCCCAGACUGCCAACAGCCGGCACCAGGUAAGAAUCUGCCCUGUAAGAGUCUAAGGCCACCUGUUCAACCGUGUCCUUGGGCAGAGGGGAUAUGGAGCCGUGGAGAGCCGGGAGACGUGACCACAGCAGCUGGUGAUCAAAGUCGGGUCUCCCACAUGGCCCCCUGCCCCCCAGACUGGGGACCAGGAGUAGGAAGGAGCCUCUCGUGGGGCUACCGACCCCCUUCUCAUUCAGCGGAGACCUGGGGUCAGGGUCAGCAGUGUCUGCCUGCUGGGCAAGUAAGAAAGACUCAAGGGAAGAGUUCCCAGGGCCAGAGAGCCAAGAGGACACCCUUCCUGCCUCCGUGCCCCUCCUCCCAGCCUGCCACCUCCUCCUCCAGGAAGCCAUCCCAGCUUCCCAAGGGGGGGGGGCGCGACGGGGGAGGGCUCUCUGUCUUCUGAGACCUUGUCUCUCUCUUGUGUUGUGGCCCUCGGGUCUGCCCCCUAUUCACCUUGCCAGGGACAUUUCCCCUCUAUCUCAGCCUGACGGCGCUCCUCCAGGGCAGGGACAGGGUCAGCUUCAGUGCCACGUCCCCUCUGCAGGCGGAAGACGCCCUUAGGUUUGCUGAAGGGUCAGGUGAAAUGGUUAGACCCUGUCCCGAAUCCAAAGGAUUGGUAAAGUGGCGGGGAGAGGAGACAUUCAGCCUAGAGGUUACAGUGAGGGUGCUGGCGCUGGCUGCUCUGAGUUAAGAACCCAGCUCAGCUCCUAACUCCAAGGCCUUGGGAAAUUCCUUUCCCACAGAGCCUGGGAGUACAAGGGGGUUAGCACAAUUAAAAUAGUCAAUAAACCGCUGUUCUCAUUACAGACAGCAUCACCAGAUUUUUCUAGGUACAAGGGAACAGAACCACACAGCCCAUAGCCAGAGAAGAAGGAGGCAAAUAGAGUCCCGGGGCAAAGGCUGUCAACAAGCCCCUGCCUCUGCGUCAGAGUUUCUCCCACAGGAACGUGGGCCUGCCUCCCAUCUACCUCCCGUCUCCAUACCCGGGAGAGGCGCUAUCUUUGCAACAAUAUUCCGAGCCCCGUGCUGGAAAUAGCUCUCAACUCCCCUGGUCCAAGCAGGGCUGUGACCGUGGAACCAUCUCCCUUCCAUCCUGGUCCUCCACGUGGAGGUGACACCAGCUGGGCCGAAGGUUAAAUGCGAUGGGAACCAAACCACAGCCACUCAGAUACCCCCUUCUGUAUUUUUUUUCCUCUAUCUGCAAUCACAGUACCUCUACAUUUAAGAUGAGUCACGUGUACCCGCGUAUGUUUGUAUACUGUCCGUGAAAAACUCUGACACUGGCCAUAACGAGGAGACGAAGUAAGAUAAGCAGCAAGAAGGGAACAGUGUGGUUACCCUUCGCCCCAGUGCGGUGGCUUGCGAGGCCCUGGGCCUGAGGCCUGAGGUCUGAGGCCGAAGGGAAAUGAGCAGGAGCUGGGAAAGCCUCAGAGACAGGAGAGCACCAAACAGGCUUUCUCGCCCUUCCUUGUAAAUAGAAAGCAAACUGAUGCAGGGGAAAAGCUUGCAUCACUGUCUUCCACAGGUAGGACUGAGGCCCGCAGACCCCGCAGAACUGCUCAUGCGGGUCGCCAGAGGUGGUCCGGUGAAGGCUUUGGAAACAGUUGUGCAUCGAGGAAUGCAGGAGGCCAGCUUUAUCAGCUUGGUUUCUGGCCAUGGAAGUUUGUCACUUUGUCAAGAACCACCCCCCACCCCCCACCUGCCCCACCGGCCUCGUACUGAAACGUCCAAGUUGGUCAGGCUGAGCAUGUUCCCUCGCGGGGCUGGUAGGGGCCCAUCCCAGAGUGGAGCACAGUGGACAGGCUGUGGGCUGUCUAGGACCCCCGAGGUGGGACCCCACAUCGGACUCACUCCCCAGCCAAAUGUGCUCUGGAGAGAGUUCCUACGGGAGAACUCCAGAUGAGAGAAAGGCAUUUCUUGGGCUGGGAAUACCUCAGGAAGGGGCUGUCCUCCUCAGGAGGCCAUGGGGACUGACCUGCCCUCAAGUGGCUGACUGGAGAGAGACACUCUUCAGCUCAAGGCCAGAUUUCAGAUUUCUAGGAGAGGCAUAGGAGACACUUUUUUUUCAAGGAGGAGGUUUUGUUUUGUUUUGUUUUGCUUUCUUCCAGCCCUAAGAAAGGCUACCCACCCCCUUAGGCCUUCAUAUAACUCUGAAAGUAUCUGUCAUCUGGUAUCAAGGCCACCACCGUAGACACCCAGCAAAGCAGGAAAGUCCUCUGGGGGUGCCCAGGAGGAACACAGGUGGCCCUGCCUGCUUGCUCGCAGAGGUUCCCACCCAAGCCAGGUCUCAAGAAGAAAAUGAAUUAUCUAUAUUAGCCAUUCAGUCACCCACCAAAUGGUAUUGCCUGGGGCCUAUCACCAUGUACAAAGACCUCAGCAAGGCCCAAGGACACCCCCCAAAUUAACAAAUGUCGGCACUGCCCCCAGGGAACUGGAUACUAGCCCAGUCAGACCCGGAUGCAAAUAGCUCUGACACUGGAGAUGAGGUUGAUGAAAGUAAUUCAGUCAUUCAACCAAUGCUUACUGAGGUCUACACUGCCGGAACCCACUUUCAGUGGUGAGCCCAGACGGCUCACGGGUGGGUGACGCAGCCCACAAGUGUGGUGCAGGAUUAGAAGUAGGGCACACAGGGUGUGAGGAUGUGGACCGGGGUGUCCUGAUGUCUGAGGAAGUCAACAAGGGCUUCCCAGAAAAAAACGGCCUUUUGAUACUAGGCGCAGGAAGAGGAGGCAGGCAGGGGGUGUGAGGGGAACAGCACAGCACCUGCGAGCCCAGAGAUGGUGGGCACCACGGGGGAAGUGGGAGAGGCCUCGUGGUCUUUGGGGAGGACUUUAGAAAUUAGGUGGGAGGAGAGGGAGCACUUUCAGGACCCUAAAUCAUGGAAGAGACAUGACCAUAUUUACACCUGAAAAGUCACUUUGGAAGGAUGUCUGGGAAGGAUGCGGGGUGGACGUCGGGGCGGGUGGGGAGUGGAAGCAGGGAGACCAGGUAGGAGGCCAGGGCAAAUGUUUGAUGGUAUAAAAUAUCAAGUACCACGACCGUGCUGUUUGGCUCGAAGGUACAGAGCAUAAAGGUGGGGCCUGGGGUCCCAUAUCGGAUGAGUCCAUUUAUUGGAAUGUCUAGAAUCAGCGGCUCUCGAGACAGAAAGCCGGCUGCCCAGAGCCGGGGCUGAUGGCAGAUGGGAGGGGCUGAAUGAUAAGAGGUCUCCUGUUGGGGUGAUGAAGUGUCCUAAAAUUGGCUGUGGCAGUGGUUGCACAACUGGGUGAAAGUAUCCGAAGCCAUUUCAUUGUACACUUUAAGUGUAUAUGUGGGAUUACAUCUCAAUAAAGCUGGUUUUUAACAAAAGAGGAGUAAAGGGAGGUGGAGGGUUGGUCCCAGAGGGCUGGGAAGCCAGGCUGAGGCCCUGAGGCUGGGAGGGAGACACCGGGGGGGGGGGGGUUGGGGGGUGCUGUGCGGUAGGGCCGUGGCCCCCCUGACACCCCCCUCCCCUGCCUAGGGUGGAGCCCCCGACAGCAGCUCCUGGCACCGAGCAGUGCGCCCUGUCUCCCAGCCUGAGGUGCAGUGCUGCAUCUCUGGUCAGUUGGGAGUCUGAGAUGAAGCACUGUAGCUCGGGAAGGGAGAAGUUGUUCUGCAGCCGUCAGCCUGGACUUGGUAAGUGGUGGCAGUGCUUGGGGACACCAGGCAGGAUGGGAGAGUGUCCAGUCACCCUGCUGCCUGCUGCUUCCCCAGCAGUGCUGGGGAAGUUUCUGGACACAAGUGCUACCCAUGCCACCAUCUGCUUCAUGACUGUGGCCAAAUCCUGACUCCUCUGCGCACCCCAGUUGGACCAUCUGCAGCUGAAGUGUUGGGGCGUUGGGUGGUCGCCGGUCCCCGACAUCCUGCCUCUGCUUUCUCUUUCUGAGCCCAUGGUGGACACCGCUCAUCAGUCAGGGCAUCCUUUCUUGAAGAGAUCAGAGGCACCUUCAGAAUCCUUCUCCACACCAAGUGCUGGAUAGCUAUGGUUCAUAAUCCAGAGCUGAAACCCAUUCACCACUUGUGGAUUGGACAAAUCCUACAAACCUUUGCAUCCCUAAAGACAAAAGUCAGUCAAGCUUUGAGUCAAGCUCCUCAUUCUUUGAGGGCCUAACCUUGGCUCCAGGCUAUUGCCUGAACCAAUCCAGGCAUUGCAUGAAGGUCCAGCCCGUCUCAGAGGCUUGGGACAAGCAAGGAAUAGCAGGGACUCACCGGACUCACCAUAAUGCUAUUUAACCUCCUGACGUGCUUGGAAGGUGGCCGGUGUCAUUGACCCAUUCUAAGACGAGAAGACUGAGGCUCAGUCACCCCGGGGUUGUAGCUCUAAUCUGUCUGCUUUUGAGUUUGUGUUCUUAGCCGAUGCAGUGCGUGUGAUUUGAACACACACACACACACACACACACACACACACACACACCCCAGGGGUGGGGGCGCAGGUGGAGACCCUAAUAAAUAAAUCCAGUCUUCUCCUUUCACCUUGGGUCACUUUUCACAAAGACAGACCUAGAGGGUUUCCACUAAGCCUCUGGGCUGCCUUCCUCCUCCUCUCCCCAACUGCAUCUGUCACACCUCAUCCGGGAGGCCCUCUCCUCUCCCAUUUUACAGCUGAGGAAAGCCGAGGCCGAGAGGCUUGCAGGAGAUCCCCGGGAGGAAGCUGGACACUGCCAACCCUGCGGGCCCAGGGUGUAGACUCAAACCCCCCCUCUGGCCCCGGCGGUCAUGGAGGGAGCGGGGAGGAGGGGGAGGGCUGGACGCCACCGGGUUUCUGGUCAACCACGCGGCCUCUGACUCCAGGCAAGGUACUUUCCAGGGCGCUUGAGGUUGCCCCCCCUGCCCCGCUGGAGCGGUCACCGUGGCACCGCGCUGACCUCUGCGGAGGGCGCUGGAGGCCGAAGAGGACUCUCGCGUUCCCGGGGACGUGGCAGCGCCGUGUCCUCACGGUCCAGUUUUCCCAGGAAUCCCUUAGAUGCUAAGAUGGGGAUUCCUGGAAAUACUGUUCUUGAGGUCAUGGUUUAGCAGCCGGACUCACCUCCCCGCCCCACCCAGACCUGGCCCCCCGGGACCUCAGCGCACCCUCGGAGGAGGCCCAGCAGGAGGCCGGGCGCUGGAGGUAAGGGGGCUCGCGCACCGGACGGUGAGGUGCUUCCUCUCCGCUUCGUCCAUUCCGCAGCGUUCCUCGAGGCCACCUCACCGCGGCUGUAGUCUUGGGAAAUCUGCCCGGUGAGGACUGAUGGAACCAGGUCACCAUAAAGUCUGAGCCUCUGCCCCACUUCCCAGCACGCCCUGCAGUGGGGGCCGCGAUGGGGUGUCCACGUUAUGGAUAAACGCACAUGAGUUUUUAAGUUUAUUAAAUCACUUAGGAAAACCAAGCACCUUAAGUCUUAGCUCGACUUGCAAUGCAACCACAGAAAAAUGAACUUUUUUUCAUCCAGAAGACAAAAAAAGCUCAGCGCGCCCUCUUGUGGUGACACCUGCCUCUAUUUACCUCCAGAAGCACGGGGUGCUCUGACACACACACACACACCGGACACAUGCCCCGACAUUCCUUUUGCCCCAGUCACAUUGCACCAGUGAGCACAUCAGCCUGCCCAUCAUCUCAUUACCUAUGAUCCUCCGUCACUUAGAGACUAGUCCUACUCCUACAGCCUGGCUUCGGCCUCGAAGCUCUCCGUGCUGGGUGAGGCUGAGAGGUGAAGUGACCAGCCCAAGGUCACCCAGGCAGCCAAACGCAGAGCUGGGAUUGAUUCCAAGUUCAGUGGCCUGUGGCAAUUCCUUAGCCACAAGCAAAAGCUACAAAAAGAAAAAAGAAAAAGAUGACUCUGUCUAAAGAGACAAAGGAAAUGCUAAUGACCCGAUGCCACAGACCCGAGGUGGUCCUGGGGCUGCACUAGAACUUUUUGCAAACUCCUUCUAGUGCUUUCCAAGGAGUCUGUAGAGAGAGUAGGUGCCGUGGCCCUAGAAUCCUCACCAGAGUGUCUGGUCCCCUUACUCCCAGGGACCAGAUGGCUCUCACAUGUGGCUCUGGCUGUCUUCCUAGCGGACCAUCUUGAAGACAUUUAUGCAGUAUGCGAGCCCUUCCCCCUCCUCCACAGACUGGAGUCGGCCUGACGGUAGAGAGAGCUGACUUGCUCCUAAUAAAUGAUAAUAAUAAUAGCGUCAGUGAAAAUGAUAAUAAUAAUAGCAUCCAUUCAUUGACUGUUUACAACUAGCAAGACACUGUGCUAGACAAUUCUCAGGCAUUGUCCCAUUCAGUCCCCACUACAACCCAGUGAGGUAGGUUCCAUCGUUUACUCCAUUUCACAGAUGAGGAAGCCAAGGCUCAGAGAGGUUAAGAGACUUGCCUAAGGUCACCCACCUAAUAACAAGCUGGGAUCACAUCAAGUCUGUGUUUAUGCUUUUCACCUGCCCUUGCUCCCUCUGUCCCGUUGGCCUGGCCUAUCUGGCAGGGCAGUCUCCCUGGGGCUCCGGGGCUGGGGGGGAGAGGGUUAAUCAAUCCUUCAGUGAGACCCAAGUGGUCCGACCUGUGCCUGUGGUUCUAAUAAAGCACUAGACCUUU